UACGUAGGGUGCAAGCGUUGUCCGGAAUUAUUGGGCGUAAAGAGCUUGUAGGCGGUUUGUCGCGUCUGCUGUGAAAUUUCGGGGCUCAACCCCGAACUUGCAGUGGGUACGGGCAGACUAGAGUGUGGUAGGGGAGACUGGAAUUCCUGGUGUAGCGGUGAAAUGCGCAGAUAUCAGGAGGAACACCGAUGGCGAAGCAGGUCUCUGGCCGACUA
rnacentral:rRNA from 1 species